rnacentral:rRNA from 1 species
AGCAGCCGCCGCGGUAAUGCGUAGGUGGCAAGCGUUGUCCGGAAUUAUUGGGCGUAAAGGGCUCGCAGGCGGUUUCUUAAGUCUGAUGUGAGAGCCCCCGGCUCAACCGGGGAGGGUCAUUGGAAACUGGGAAACUUGAGUGCAGAAGAGGAGAGUGGAAUUCCACGUGUAGCGGUGAAAUGCGUAGAGAUGUGGAGGAACACCAGUGGCGAAGGCGACUCUCUGGUCUGUAACUGACGCUGAGGAGCGAAAGCGUGGGGAGCGAACAGGAUUAGAUACCCGCGUAGUCCCUGUCUCUUAUAC